AUUGAACGCUGGCGGCAGGCUUAACACAUGCAAGUCGAGCGGGGGAAGGUAGCUUGCUACCGGACCUAGCGGCGGACGGGUGAGUAAUGCUUAGGAAUCUGCCUAUUAGUGGGGGACGACAUCUCGAAAGGGAUGCUAAUACCGCAUACGUCCUACGGGAGAAAGCAGGGGAUCUUCGGACCUUGCGCUAAUAGAUGAGCCUAAGUCGGAUUAGCUAGUUGGUGGGGUAAAGGCCUACCAAGGCGACGAUCUGUAGCGGGUCUGAGAGGAUGAUCCGACACACUGGGACUGAGAGACGGCCCAGACUCCUACGGGAGGCAGCAGUGGGGAAUAUUGGACAAUGGGGGGAACCCUGAUCUAGCCAUGCCGCGUGUGUGAAGAAGGCCUUAUGGUUGUAAAGCACUUUAAGCGAGGAGGAGGCUACUUUAGUUAAUACCUAGAGAUAGUGGACGUUACUCGCAGAAUAAGCACCGGCUAACUCUGUGCCAGCCGCCGCCGUAA
rnacentral:rRNA from 1 species